AGAGUUGAUCCUGGCUAGAACGAACGCUGGCGGCGCGUUUAAGCAUGCAAGUCGAGCGGCAAGGGCCUCGGGCCCCUAGAGCGGCGGACGGGUGAGUAACACGUGGGCAAUCUGCCCCCCGGCCCGGGAUAGCCCAGGGAAACCUGGAUUAAUACCGGAUGAGACGGGACCCGCGAUGGCGGGAUCCGGGAAAGGCGCUGCGGCGCCGCCGGGGGAUGAGUCUGCGUCCCAUUAGCUAGACGGCGGGGUAACGGCCCACCGUGGCGACGAUGGGUAGCCGGCCUGAGAGGGUGGACGGCCACAUUGGAACUGAGACACGGUCCAGACUCCUACGGGAGGCAGCAGUAGGGAAUCUUCCGCAAUGGACGAAAGUCUGACGGAGCAACGCCGCGUGAGUGAAGAAAAGGUUUUCGGAUCGUAAAACUCUGUUGUCAGAGAAGAACAAGUUGGAGAGUAACUGCUCCAGCCUUGACGGUAUCUGACCAGAAAGCCACGGCUAACUACGUGCCAGCCGCCGC
rnacentral:rRNA from 1 species